CACGUAGUUAGCCGUGGCUUUCUGAUUAGGUACCGUCAAGACGUGCACAGUUACUUACACGUUUGUUCUUCCCUAAUAACAGAGUUUUACGAUCCGAAGACCUUCAUCACUCACGCGGCGUUGCUCCGUCAGGCUUUCGCCCAUUGCGGAAGAUUCCCUACUGCUGCCUCCCGUAGGAGCCUGGACCGUGUCUCAGUUCCAGUGUGGCCGAUCACCCUCUCAGGUCGGCUACGUAUCGUUGCCUUGGUAAGCCGUUACCUUACCAACUAGCUAAUACGGCGCAGGUCCAUCUAUAAGUGAUAGCAAAGCCAUCUUUCACUAUCGAACCAUGCGGUUCGAAAUAUUAUCCGGUAUUAGCUUCCGGUUUCCGAAGUUAUCCCAGUUCUUAUAGGUAGUUACCUACGUGUUACUCACCCGUCCGCCGCUAACGUCAAAGGAGCAAGCUCCUCGUCUGUUCGCUCGACUUGCAUGUAUUGGCACGCCGCCAGCGUUCAUCCUGACGCCAGGACUACAAACUC
rnacentral:rRNA from 1 species